AUUCUGUGAUGAAACAUCUUAUUCCAGUUCUGCUGCUGAUCGUGUUGAUGAUACCCAUUUACCAAACUUAUCUGAGAA
rnacentral:snoRNA from 1 species